AUUGAACGCUGGCGGCAUGCCUUACACAUGCAAGUCGAACGGCAGCACGGGUGCUUGCACCUGGUGGCGAGUGACGAACGGGUGAGUAAUGCAUCGGAACGUACCCGGAAGUGGGGGAUAACGUAGCGAAAGUUACGCUAAUACCGCAUAUUCUGUGAGCAGGAAAGCAGGGGAUCGUAAGACCUUGCGCUUUCGGAGCGGCCGAUGUCGGAUUAGCUAGUUGGUGGGGUAAAGGCUCACCAAGGCGACGAUCCGUAGCGGGUCUGAGAGGAUGAUCCGCCACACUGGGACUGAGACACGGCCCAGACUCCUACGGGAGGCAGCAGUGGGGAAUUUUGGACAAUGGGGGCAACCCUGAUCCAGCCAUGCCGCGUGAGUGAAGAAGGCCUUCGGGUUGUAAAGCUCUUUCGGCGGGGAAGAAAUUGCUUCGGUUAAUACCCGGAGUAGAUGACGGUACCCGCAUAAGAAGCACCGGCUAACUACGUGCCAGCAGCCGCGGUAACAC
rnacentral:rRNA from 1 species